rnacentral:rRNA from 1 species
UACAGAGGUCUCAAGCGUUGUUCGGAUUCAUUGGGCGUAAAGGGUGCGUAGGCGGCGCGGUAAGUCGGGUGUGAAAUCUCGGAGCUUAACUCCGAAACUGCAUUCGAUACUGCCGUGCUUGAGGACUGGAGAGGAGACUGGAAUUUACGGUGUAGCGGUGAAAUGCGUAGAUAUCGUAAGGAAGACCAGUGGCGAAGGCGGGUCUCUGGACAGUUCCUGACGCUGAGGCACGAAGGCCAGGGGAGCGAAACGGGG